AGUCACCACUUGCACCCGCUGAUGGUGCCAAGCGAUCGGGGCCAGCGCUGGCAGUGGGUGUGAGUGCCGGGUGGGAC